UGGGGAAUUUUUCGCAAUGGGCGCAAGCCUGACGAAGCAACGCCGCGUGAGGGAUGAAGGCCUUCGGGUCGUAAACCUCUGUCGGAAGGGAAGAAAGGUGUCCGGUCGAACAGGCCGGGGGCUUGACGGUACCUUCAAAGGAAGCGCCGGCUAACUCCGUGCCAGCAGCCGCGGUAAUACAGAGGGUGCGAGCGUUAAUCGGAAUUACUGGGCGUAAAGCGCACGUAGGCGGCUCUGCAAGUCGGGUGUGAAAUCCCCGGGCUCAACCUGGGAACUGCAUUCGAUACUGCAUUGCUAGAGUAUGGGAGAGGGAAGUGGAAUUUCCGGUGUAGCGGUGAAAUGCGUAGAUAUCGGAAGGAACACCAGUGGCGAAAGCGACUUCCUGGACCAAUACUGACGCUCAGGUGCGAAAGCGUGGGGAGCAA
rnacentral:rRNA from 1 species